rnacentral:rRNA from 1 species
GAUGGGAGCUUGCUCCCAGGCGUCGAGCGGCGGACGGGUGAGUAAUGUAUGGGAACUUGCCCAGUAGUGGGGGAUAGCCCGGGGAAACCCGGAUUAAUACCGCAUACGCCCUACGGGGGAAAGUGGGCUUCGGCUCACGCUAUUGGAUGGGCCCAUAUCAGAUUAGUUAGUUGGUGAGGUAACGGCUCACCAAGGCGACGAUCUGUAGCUGGUCUGAGAGGAUGAUCAGCCACACUGGGACUGAGACACGGCCCAGACUCCUACGGGAGGCAGCAGUGGGGAAUAUUGGACAAUGGGGGCAACCCUGAUCCAGCCAUGCCGCGUGUGUGAAGAAGGCUUUCGGGUUGUAAAGCACUUUCAGUGGUGAGGAAAAUCUGGCGGUUAAUACCCGUACAGACUUGACGUUAGCCACAGAAGAAGCACCGGCUAACUCCGUGCCAGCAGCCGCGGUAAUACGGAGGGUGCGAGCGUUAAUCGGAAUUACUGGGCGUAAAGGGCGCGUAGGCGGUUUGGUAAGCGAGAUGUGAAAGCCCCGGGCUUAACCCGGGAACCGCAUUUCGAACUGCCAGGCUAGAGUGCAGCAGAGGGUAGUGGAAUUUCCGGUGUAGCGGUGAAAUGCGUAGAUAUCGGAAGGAACACCAGUGGCGAAGGCGACUGCCUGGGCUGACACUGACGCUGAGGUGCGAAAGCGUGGGUAGCAAACAGGAUUAGAUACCCUGGUAGUCCACGCUGUAAACGAUGAGAACUAGUCGUUGGGAAUCCUAGAUUCUUAGUGACGCAGCUAACGCACUAAGUUCUCCGCCUGGGGAGUACGGCCGCAAGGUUAAAACUCAAAUGAAUUGACGGGGGCCCGCACAAGCGGUGGAGCAUGUGGUUUAAUUCGACGCAACGCGAAGAACCUUACCUGGUCUUGACAUCCU